rnacentral:lncRNA from 1 species
UGUGGGGCUCAAUCCCAGGACCCUGGGAUCAUGACCUGAGCCAAAGGCAGAUGCUUAACUGACUAAGCUACCCAGGCAUCCCCAAUUGUGUCUUAACAGAGACUUCAGAAAGGCAGAGGAGUGGGAAAGCAUUACAGUGAAAAAGAGGAAGGCUUCAGGUGGCUGCUUGCACCAAACGUCUUUGUGCAUUACAACAUGCAACAACAAAAAAGAACAGUGCGUGGAAAACUAUACCACCAAGACAGACUGAGCCUGAUGCAAAGAUAUGUCACAAAGCAAUGUGAUGAAGAGACAAAUUCAAUCUUGAUCACCAGAUCAUAUCUUCAGAACUUUCACCUUUUUUCAGAAUAAAAACACUUCAGGGGCACCUAGGUGGCUCAGUUGGUUCAAUGUGUCUGCAUUUGGCUCAGCUCAUGAUCUCAGGGUCCUGGGAUCUAG